rnacentral:lncRNA from 1 species
AGAAGAGCGUAUUGCACAAAUGAGCAUUGUAGCUGAACAAAAUCCUUCUGGUCAGUAUUAAGAAAGAAAGAAAUAAUAAGUUCCUAGCUGUCUUGUUUACUUUUUCAUCCAUCCUUCCAACAUCUUUCUGCAAAGAGAAAAAACAUUAAUUGUUUAAACCAUAACUUUUGGAAGAGAAAGUUAGUGCCAGAAUCGAAUUUUAUUAAUAAGAUAAUAUGAAUGAAGUAGGGUUUUUAAUACCUAUCACAGUAAGUCAGAAAUUAAAUUGAAGAACCACCAUAAAAAGUUGAAACUGAGGGUUUGGUAAUGGUCAUGGUGUUACGCAAGAAACAAACUGAAAACGCCGUACAUAUUAGUUUUUUUACAUCUUUGUAAUUCAUUGUCAAAUGUAUG